rnacentral:rRNA from 1 species
AGUCUGACGGAGCACCCCCGCGUGAAUGAAGAAGGUUUUUGGAUUGUAAAGCUCUGUUGUUAGGGAAGAACAAGUCCGAGAGUAAUUGGUCGCACCUUGGACGGUACCUAACCAGAAAGGCCACGGCUAAAUACGUGCCAGCAGCCGCGGUAAUACGUAGGUGGCAAGCGUUGUCCGGAAUUAUUGGGCGUAAAGGGCUCGCAGGCGGUUUCUUAAGUCUGAUGUGAAAGCCCCCGGUUCAACCGGGGAGGGUCAUUGGAAACUGGGAAACUUGAGUGCAGAAGAGGAGAGUGGAAUUCCACGUGUAGCGGUGAAAUGCGUAGAGAUGUGGAGGAACACCAGUGGCGAAGGCGACUCUCUGGUCUGUAACUGACGCUGAGGAGCGAAAGCGUGGGGAGCGAACAGGAUUAGAUACCCUGGUAGUUCACGCCGUAAACGAUGAGUGGUAAGUGUUAGGGGGUUUUCGCCCCUUAGUGCUGCAGCUAACGCAUUAAGCACUCCGCCUGGGGAGUACGGUCGCAAGACUGAAACUCAAAGGAAUUGACGGGGGCCCGCACAAGCGGUGGAGCAUGUGGUUUAAUUUGAAGCAACGCGAAGAACCUUACCAGGUCUUGACAUCCUUUGACAACCCUAGAGAUAGGGCUUUCCCUUCGGGGGCAGAGUGACAGGUGGUGCAUGGUUGUUGUCAGCUUGUGUUGUGAGAUGUUGGGUUAAGUUCCGCAACGAGCGCAACCCUUGAUUUUAGUUGCCAGCAUUCAGUUGGGCCCUUUAAGGUGACUGCCGGUGACAAACCGGAGGAAGGUGGGGAUGACGUCAAAUCAUCAUGCCCCUUAUGACCUGGGCUACCCCCGUGCUACAAUGGACAGAACAAAGGGCUGCAAGACCGCAAGGUUUAGCCAAUCCCAUAAAUCUGUUUUCAGUUCGGAUCGCAGUUUGCAACUCGACUGCGUGAAGCUGGAAUCGCUAGUAAUCGCGGAUCAGCAUGCCGCGGUGAAUACGUUCCCGGGCCUUGUACCCCCCGCCCGUCCCCCCCCGAGAGUUGCAACCCCCGAAGUCGGUGAGGUAACCCUUAUGGAGCCAGCCGCCGAAGUGACAGACG